AUGGACAUGAGGGCCCAGGCUCAGUUUCUUGGGUUCUUGUUGCUGUGGUUUCCAGGUGCCAGAUGCGACAUCCAGAUGACCCAGUCUCCAUCCUCCAUGUCUGCAUCUCUGGGAGACAGAGUCACUAUUACUUGCCGGGCAUGGCAGGACAUUCGGAAUAAUUUAAGCUGGUACCAGCAGAAACGAGGAAAAUCUCCUAAGCUCAUGAUUUAUGGUGCAACCAACUUGGAAGAUGGGGUCCCAUCAAGAUUCAGUGGCAGUAGGUCUGGGUCAGAUUAUUCUCUCACCAUCAGCAGCCUGGAGUCUGAAGAUAUGGCAAUCUAUCACUGUCUGCAGAGCUAUUCUUCUAUUCUUAGGGACCUGCAACAACAGUUAAAUUCAAAAGACGAUUGGAGAAAGAAUAUUGGAAAUCGUGGAAGAGGUGGUGUAAAGGCUUUGAGAGAUGAAUACUGUUAG